rnacentral:tRNA from 1 species
GCCGGGUUAGCUCAGUCGGUAGAGCAGAGGACUGAAAAUCCUCGUGUCCGUGGUUCGAUUCCGCGACCCGGCACCA